UACGGAGGGCGCGAGCGUUACCCGGAUUUACUGGGCGUAAAGGGCGUGUAGGCGGUCUGGGGCGUCCCAUGUGAAAGGCCACGGCUCAACCGUGGAGGAGCGUGGGAUACGCUCAGGCUAGACGGUGGGAGAGGGUGGUGGAAGUCCCGGAGUAGCGGUGAAAUGCGCAGAUACCGGGAGGAACGCCGAUGGCGAAGGCAGCCACCUGGUUCACUGGUGACGUUGAGGCGCGAAAGCGUGGGGAGCAAACCGG
rnacentral:rRNA from 1 species